UGCUGCACUUCAGCAGCACAUAUACUAAAAUUGGAACAAUACAGAGACGAUUAGCAUGGCCCCUGCACAAGGAUACACGCAAAUUUGUAAAAAAAAAUAGACAGCA
rnacentral:snRNA from 1 species